CACAGACAAAUAUUAGGUUGGUGCAAAAGUUAUUGCGGUUUUGGCCAUUACUUUCAGUGGCGAAAACCACAGUUACUUUAUUACCAACUUAAUA
rnacentral:miRNA from 10 species